rnacentral:rRNA from 1 species
AACAGCUCAAAUUUGAAAUCUGGCUCCCUUGGGGUCCGAGUUGUAAUUUGCAGAGGAUGUUUCGGGUUCGGCUGCGGUCUAAGUUCCUUGGAACAGGACGUCAUGGAGGGUGAGAAUCCCGUGUAGGACCGCCGGCCACGCCCAUGUGAAACGCCUUCGACGAGUCGAGUUGUUUGGGAAUGCAGCUCCAAAUGGGUGGUAAAUUUCAUCUAAAGCUAAAUACCGGCCAGAGACCGAUAGCGCACAAGUAGAGUGAUCGAAAGAUGAAAAGCACUUUGGAAAGAGAGUUAAAAAGCAUGUGAAAUUGUUGAAAGGGAAGCGCUUGCCACCAGACUUGGAUCCGGGUGUUCCGCCGGCGUUUUCGCCGGCGUACUCACUCGGGAACAGGCCAGCAUCGGUUCAGGCGGCUGGACAAAGGCCCCCGGAACGUAGCUUCCUUCGGGGAGUGUUAUAGCCGGGGGUGCCAUGCAGUCAGCCCGGACCGAGGAUCGCGCUGCGGCACGGAUGCUGGCGUAAUGGUGGUAAGCGGCCCGUCUUGAAACACGGACCAAGGAGUCUAUCAUCUACGCGAGUGUUUGGGUGUCAAACCCACACGCGGAAUGAAAGUGAACGGAGGUGGGAGCCCUCGGGCGCACCAUCGACCGAUCCUGAUGUCUUCGGAUGGAUUUGAGUAAGAGCGUAGCUGAUGGGACCCGAAAGAUGGUGAUCUAUGCCUGAAUAGGGUGAAGCCAGAGGAAACUCUGGUGGAGGCUCGCAGCGGUUCUGACGUGCAAAUCGAUCGUCAAAUUUGGGUAUAGGGGCGAAAGACUAAUCGAACCAUCUAGUAGCUGGUUCCUGUCGAAGUUUCCCUCAGGAUAGCAGUAACGUUUUCAGUUUUAUGAGGUAAAGCGAAUGAUUAGAGGCCUUGGGGUUGAAACAACCUUAACCUAUUCUCAAACUUUAAAUAUGUAAGAAGUCCUUGUUGCUUAGUUGAACGUGGACAUUUGAAUGUAUCGUUACUAGUGGGCCAUUUUUGGUAAGCAGAACUGGCGAUGCGGGAUGAACCGAACGUGAGGUUAAGGUGCCGGAAUGCACGCUCAUCAGACACCACAAAAGGUGUUAGUUCAUCUAGACAGCCGGACGGUGGCCAUGGAAGUCGGAACCCGCUAAGGAUCGUGUAACAACUCACCGGCCGAAUGAACUAGCCCUGAAAAUGGAUGGCGCUCAAGCGUGCUACCUAUACCUCACCGUCG